rnacentral:rRNA from 1 species
AACGAACGCUGGCGGCGUGCCUAACACAUGCAAGUCGUGCGAGAAAGUUCCCUUCGGGGGAUGAGUAAAGCGGCGCACGGGUGAGUAACACGUAGGUAACCUACCCCCGAGCCUGGGAUAACCUACCGAAAGGUGGGCUAAUACCGGAUAUGACCCCGGAGGUUGCGGCCUCUGUGGUGAAAGGUGGCCUCUGCUUGCAAGCUACCACUUGAGGAUGGGCCUGCGCGCCAUUAGCUAGUUGGUGGGGUAACGGCCUACCAAGGCUAUGAUGGCUAGUUGGUCUGAGAGGAUGACCAGCCACACUGGGACUGAAACACGGCCCAGACUCCUGCGGGAGGCAGCAGUGGGGGAUAUUGCGCAAUGGGCGAAAGCCUGACGCAGCGACGCCGCGUGGGUGAUGAAGGCCUUCGGGUCGUAAAGCCCUGUCGAGGGGGACGAAACAGCUCCGAUCAAAUAGGUCGGGGCCUUGACGGUACCCCUAAAGGAAGCACCGGCUAACUCCGUGCCAGCAGCCGCAGUAAUAC